rnacentral:rRNA from 1 species
UACCUUCUAGAUGGGGACAACCGUUGGAAACGACAGCUAAUCCCCAAUAAGCCGAGAGGUGAAACGGGAUUCCGCUAGAAGAGGAGCUCGCGUCCGAUUAGUUAGUUGGUGGGGUAAAAGCCUACCAAAGCGUCGAUCGGUAGCUGGUCUGAGAGGAUGAGCAGCCACACUGGGACUGAGACACGGCCCAGACUCCUACGGGAGGCAGCAGUGGGGAAUUUUCCGCAAUGGGCGAAAGCCUGACGGAGCAACGCCGCGUGUGGGAAGAAGGCUCUUGGGCUGUCAACCACUUUUCUCAGGGAAGAAUCACUGACGGUACCUGAGGAAUCAGCCUCGGCUAACUCCGUGCCAGCAGCCGCGGUAAUACGGAGGAGGCAAGCGUUAUCCGGAAUUAUUGGGCGUAAAGCGUCCGCAGGGGGCGCAUCAAGUCUGCUGUCAAAGGUCGGAGCUUAACUCCGGUGUGGCAGUGGAAACUGGUGCGCUAGAGGGCGACAGGGGUAGAGGGAAUUCCCAGUGUAGCGGUGAAAUGCGUAGAGAUUGGGAAGAACACCGGGUGGCGAAAGCGCUCUACUGGGUCGCACCUGACCCUCAGGGACGAA